rnacentral:rRNA from 1 species
GACGAACUUUGGCGGCGUGCUUAACACAUGCAAGUCGAACGGAAAGGCCCUGCUUUUGUGGGGUGCUCGAGUGGCGAACGGGUGAGUAACACGUGAGUAACCUGCCCUUGACUUUGGGAUAACUUCGGGAAACUGGGGCUAAUACCGGAUAGGAGCUCCUGCUGCAUGGUGGGGGUUGGAAAGUUUCGGCGGUUGGGGAUGGACUCGCGGCUUAUCAGCUUGUUGGUGGGGUAGUGGCUUACCAAGGCUUUGACGGGUAGCCGGCCUGAGAGGGUGACCGGCCACAUUGGGACUGAGAUACGGCCCAGACUCCUACGGGAGGCAGCAGUGGGGAAUAUUGCACAAUGGGCGGAAGCCUGAUGCAGCAACGCCGCGUGCGGGAUGACGGCCUUCGGGUUGUAAACCGCUUUCGCCUGUGACGAAGCGUGAGUGACGGUAAUGGGUAAAGAAGCACCGGCUAACUACGUGCCAGCAGCCGCGGUGAUACGUAGGGUGCGAGCGUUGUCCGGAUUUAUUGGGCGUAAAGGGCUCGUAGGUGGUUGAUCGCGUCGGAAGUGUAAUCUUGGGGCUUAACCCUGAGCGUGCUUUCGAUACGGGUUGACUUGAGGAAGGUAGGGGAGAAUGGAAUUCCUGGUGGAGCGGUGGAAUGCGCAGAUAUCAGGAGGAACACCAGUGGCGAAGGCGGUUCUCUGGGCCUUUCCUGACGCUGAGGAGCGAAAGCGUGGGGAGCGAACAGGCUUAGAUACCCUGGUAGUCCACGCUGUAAACGGUGGGUACUAGGUGUGGGGUCCAUUCCACGGGUUCCGUGCCGUAGCUAACGCUUUAAGUACCCCGCCUGGGGAGUACGGCCGCAAGGCUAAAACUCAAAGGAAUUGACGGGGCCCCCACAAGCGGCGGAGCAUGCGGAUUAAUUCGAUGCAACGCGUAGAACCUUACCUGGGUUUGACAUGGAUCGGGAGUGCUCAGAGAUGGGUGUGCCUCUUUUGGGGUCGGUUCACAGGUGGUGCAUGCCUGUCGUCAGCUCGUGUCGUGAGAUGUUGGGUUAAGUCCCGCAACGAGCGCAACCCUUGUUCACUGUUGCCAGCACGUUAUGGUGGGGACUCAGUGGAGACCGCCGGGGUCAACUCGGAGGAAGGUGGGGAUGACGUCAAGUCCUCAUGCCCCUUAUGUCCAGGGCUUCACGCAUGCUACAAUGGCUGGUACAGAGAGUGGCGAGCCUGUGAGGGUGAGCGAAUCUCGGAAAGCCGGUCUCAGUUCGGAUUGGGGUCUGCAACUCGACCUCAUGAAGUCGGAGUCGCUAGUAAUCGCAGAUCAGCAACGCUGCGGUGAAUACGUUCCCGGGGCC